UGUUGAAUGAUGAAAAAAAUCAGACGGAUUCCCACUGAUAUUGUUAAUAUAUGAUAUCACAACCAGCUACUUCUGACAACA